CAUCUUAUAUUCAACAGCGGAUCUUAAAUAACUUCUAAAAUUAUAAUAAAAAAUAAAAAAAGAAAUAUCAAAUGUCCACUUCCAUGCAUCUUUGCCCUGAUUCGAAACCGGCCCAUUGCCAUUUGUCAAAAUUCAAGCAUGCUUCUCUCUCAGGGCCAGCAUUACAUAUCAAACACAUCUUUUGCAUAAUGGCUUUAAUCACAGACAUCCACGAGGGUAGAGCAGAGCUAUGACACAAUGUGCAAUGAAGUAAGAUUUUCUUUAUUUUUGCAGCGGUCGAACUUCGCAUACUUAUUAUUAUUUUUUUCAUUAUUGAUAUACAUUUAUUCCAGACUUUCCUUUACAUGGAAGGCAAAUCAACAUUACGGUGUGCUGCGGACAGAUCGUAGUCUUGAGCUUGCCGCACCACCACUCUGCAACUCAAGUGAUGAUGACUAUGGCAAUAUCACAGGUUCAAUGCUCCAAAUAUCCCUUGCAUAUUCAUGAAUCGUCCUGUCGCCGCUGAACUUGUAUGACUAUGAAGUUGCUGUAUUCACGAUUGACAUCUUGAUCCCUCUCCUUUCGUCCUAAUAUGCCUUAUCGACUUUCUGUUGGCAUUCUAUAUAGCUGGGGAAGUCCUUGCCAACAAGGAAAUAAUCAGUACGACCAAAACCUUCAUUUCCUUCUAAUGAUCUCAUCAGUUCCUCAUAGUUGUAAGGCCCGAAAACACCACUUCUGGCAAAUUCUUUCACUUCUUCGAAACUUCCCCUCAGCUCUUUCUUUUCUCUGGCCCACGAUCUCAUGAGCUUCAGCACCAAGAGGAAAAAAACUGUCUUCUCCAGCCUCUUGCCGUAUUUCAACAUUGGCCCCAUCUAAGGUCCCUAUUAGGAUGCAACCAUUCAUAGCAAACUUCAUGUUGCUCGUUCCACUGGCUUCCAUCCCAGCAGUGCUGAUAUGCUGUGAAAGCUCACUUGCAGGAAUAAGCAAUUCAGCAACACUGACGUUGUAAUCCGGGACAAAAACAACCUUAAGUAAAUCACCUAUUUCAGCAUCAUGAUUAACUGUAGCCCCCACAUCCGUGAUAAAUUUCACAAUCCUUUUGGCUUGCACAUAUGUAGCGAAUGCUUUUCCACCAAAUAUACAAACUCUAGGAACAUACUUAGCUUUCCUUUCUGCAGCACUCAUUUCUUUCAUCUUCUU
rnacentral:misc_RNA from 1 species